rnacentral:lncRNA from 1 species
AGGCAAGAGAAUUAAAUUCUCCCACUUUUUGAGUGACUCUUCCAUGCCAAAAUUCAUAUAAAUUAUCUCCUUUAAUUUUAUCUUAAUAAUAAUCCCAAGAAGCAGAUCUUGUUAUUUGGCAGUGGGUAAAUGGUACUAUGGUCUAGGUUAAGUCUCAUGGUAAUGAAUCUGAGACAUAAAAUAUCAACUUCCCUGUUCCUAAAAACUGUUCAAGCUUUUUCAGGAUUCAGAAACAGAACUGUAGGACUUGAUCUAAGCUGUCCUUGAGAGGCAAGUGGAACCAAAACUCUCUAAGGAGUAUUGCUAAGGAAUGAGAACAGGUCCAGUGGACUUAGAUUAGAAGUGAGGAGUGCUGUCAACAGUUGUGAGAUGAACAGGAGUUAUGCACAAAUUCACCUGGACCUGUGGAGGGGGUAUGGACUCUCCCAGCAAGACUCCCAUUACAACCACUUAGUCCUUUAUAUCCCUUUACCCUGGCUGCUUAAGUUCCUUCACCACCAACUGAUCUGGGAGAUACAUUUAACUGUGUGUCCUCUUUUCUUGUCGGCCCACAUUCCUUAAAGCUUAUUGGUGUGAUAUUGCAGAUAGGUGCCCUGUACACAUGGGGCAGGAAGCCUUGCUUGUUAACAGUAAGGUCCCUGAUUUUAAAUUAUAAAAUGUACAAUACAAAAGAGCCAAAGCCAGACAAAACAAAAUGAGUUCUCAUAGAUUCCAGAGUUUUUGUAAUGUUUUCAUUUGAAAAUAUAAAAAUAGUAAUGAAAGGAACCAUUACACUAAAUUGUGGUCAUCUUCCACAUAAAC